rnacentral:rRNA from 1 species
CGAGGGGCAGCGGGGAGGUAGCAAUACUUCCGCCGGCGACCGGCGCACGGGUGAGUAACACGUAUGGAACCUGCCCGUAGCAGGGGGAUAAGCGGAAGAAAUUCCGUCUAAUACCGCGUAAUAACUCCGAGAGGCAUCUCUUGGGGUUUAAAGGGUAACACCGGCUACGGAUGGCCAUGCGGCGCAUUAGCUAGUUGGCGGGGUAACGGCCCACCAAGGCGACGAUGCGUAGGGGUUCUGAGAGGAAGGUCCCCCACACUGGUACUGAGACACGGACCAGACUCCUACGGGAGGCAGCAGUGAGGAAUAUUGGUCAAUGGGCGCGAGCCUGAACCAGCCAAGUCGCGUGAGGGAAGACGGUCCUAUGGAUUGUAAACCUCUUUUGUCGGGGAGCAAAAGACGUCACGUGUGGCGUUCCGAGAGUACCCGAAGAAAAAGCAUCGGCUAACUCCGUGCCAGCAGCCGCGGUAAUACGGAGGAUGCGAGCGUUAUCCGGAUUUAUUGGGUUUAAAGGGUGCGCAGGCGGAAGAUCAAGUCAGCGGUAAAAUUGAGAGGCUCAACCUCUUCGAGCCGUUGAAACUGGUUUUCUUGAGUGAGCGAGAAGUAUGCGGAAUGCGUGGUAUAGCGGUGAAAUGCAUAGAUAUCACGCAGAACUCCGAUUGCGAAGGCAGCAUACCGGCGCUCAACUGACGCUCAUGCACGAAAGCGUGGGUAUCGAACAGGAUUAGAUACCCUGGUAGUCCACGCAGUAAACGAUGAAUACUAACUGUC